rnacentral:rRNA from 1 species
CAGCCGCCGCGGAAUACGAAGGGGGCUAGCGUUGCUCGGAAUGACUGGGCGUAAAGGGCGCGUAGGCGGUUUGUACAGUCAGAUGUGAAAUUCCUGGGCUUAACCUGGGGGCUGCAUUCGAGACGUCAAGACUAGAGUGUGAGAGAGGGUUGUGGAAUUCCCAGUGUAGAGGUGAAAUUCGUAGAUAUUGGGAAGAACACCGGUGGCGAAGGCGGCAACCUGGCUCAUUACUGACGCUGAGGCGCGAAAGCGUGGGGAGCAAACAGGAUUAGAUACCCCCGUAGUCCCUGUCUCUUAUACA